UCCCACCCGUGUUUACUGUACCUUAGUUGCUUCGGCGGGCCCGCCAUUCAUGGCCGCCGGGGGCUCUCAGCCCCGGGCCCGCGCCCGCCGGAGACACCACGAACUCUGUCUGAUCUAGUGAAGUCUGAGUUGAUUGUAUCGCAAUCAGUUAAAACUUUCAACAAUGGAUCUCUUGGUUCCGGCAUCGAUGAAGAACGCAGCGAAAUGCGAUAACUAGUGUGAAUUGCAGAAUUCCGUGAAUCAUCGAGUCUUUGAACGCACAUUGCGCCCCCUGGUAUUCCGGGGGGCAUGCCUGUCCGAGCGUCAUUGCUGCCCAUCAAGCACGGCUUGUGUGUUGGGUCGUCGUCCCCUCUCCGGGGGGGACGGGCCCCAAAGGCAGCGGCGGCACCGCGUCCGAUCCUCGAGCGUAUGGGGCUUUGUCACCCGCUCUGUAGGCCCGGCCGGCGCUUGCCGAACGCAAAUCAAUCUUUUUCCAGGUUGACCUCGGAUCAGGUAGGGAUACCCGCUGAACUUAAGCAUAUCA
rnacentral:rRNA from 1 species